GUCCAGGGAUGGGAAACGAACCCACAGUGUUCCGAUUACCGUGCAGAUGUCAUGUCCACUAGGCUACCCUGGA